AUUGAACGCUGGCGGCAUGCCUAACACAUGCAAGUCGAACGGUAACAGGCAAAGCUUGCUUUGCGCUGACGAGUGGCGGACGGGUGAGUAACGCGUAGGAAUCUGCCCUAAAGUGGGGGACAACCCGGGGAAACUCGGGCUAAUACCGCAUAUGCCCUUCGGGGUAAAGCUGGGGACCUUCGGGCCUGGCGCUUUAGGAGGAGCCUGCGUUGGAUUAGCUUGUUGGUGAGGUAAAGGCUCACCAAGGCGACGAUCCAUAGCUGGUCUGAGAGGACGAUCAGCCACACUGGGACUGAGACACGGCCCAGACUCCUACGGGAGGCAGCAGUGGGGAAUAUUGGACAAUGGGGGAAACCCUGAUCCAGCAAUGCCGCGUGUGUGAAGAAGGCCUUAGGGUUGUAAAGCACUUUCAGUUGGGAGAAAUAUCCUGCCACUAAUAACGGCAGGUUUGAUGCUACCGACAGAAGAAGCACCGGCUAACUCUGUGCCAGCAGCCGCAGUAA
rnacentral:rRNA from 1 species